CUUCAACCUCAUUGAAGGU
rnacentral:snRNA from 1 species